GCGUUAUCCGGAAUCAUUGGGCGUAAAGCGCCUGUAGGUUGUUUAAUAAGUCCGUUGUUAAAGACUAGGGCUUAACCCUAGGAAAGCGAUGGAAACUGAUAGACUUGAGUAUGGCAGGGGUAGAGGGAAUUUCUAGUGUAGCGGUGAAAUGCGUAGAUAUUAGAAAGAACACCGGUGGCGAAAGCGCUCUACUGGACCAUUACUGACACUGAGAGGCGAAAGCUAGGGGAGCGAAAGGGAUUAGAUACCCCUGUAGUCCUAGCCGUAAACGAUGGAUACUAGAUGUUGUGCAAUUUGGACAGUAUCGUAGCUAACGCGUUAAGUAUCCCGCCUGGGGAGUACGCUCGCAAGGGUGAAACUCAAAGGAAUUGACGGGGGCCCGCACAAGCGGUGGAGCAUGUGGUUUAAUUCGAUGCAACGCGAAGAACCUUACCAGGGCUUGACAUACUACAGAUCUUUUUGAGAAAGAAGAGUGCCUUCGGGAAUGUAGAUACAGGUGGUGCAUGGCUGUCGUCAGCUCGUGUCGUGAGAUGUUGGGUUAAGUCCCGCAACGAGCGCAACCUUCGUUUUUAGUUGCCAAUUUAUUGGGAUCUCUAGAAAGACUGCCGGUGACAAACCGGAGGAAGGUGAGGAUGACGUCAAGUCAGCAUGCCCCUUAUGUCCUGGGCCACACACGUGCUACAAUGGUAAAGACAAAGAGUCGCCAAUUCGCGAGAAUG
rnacentral:rRNA from 1 species